AAAAAAGCAGGGAUCUGUUGCCUCUUGUGAACAGGUCUCUUGUAAACUUCAGGGACAUCACGUCCAUUGUUAUUGGGUGAACCUCUGUUAAUCUGUUGGUGGCAGAAGGUUCAGUAAAUAAUGGUAGAUUU